UACGGGGGGGGGCAAGCGUUGUUCGGAAUUACUGGGCGUAAAGGGCUCGUAGGCGGCCAACUAAGUCAGACGUGAAAUCCCUCGGCUUAACCGGGGAACUGCGUCUGAUACUGGAUGGCUUGAGGUUGGGAGAGGGAUGCGGAAUUCCAGGUGUAGCGGUGAAAUGCGUAGAUAUCUGGAGGAACACCGGUGGCGAAGGCGGCAUCCUGGACCGAUUCUGACGCUGAGGAGCGAAAGCCAGGGGAGCAAACGGGG
rnacentral:rRNA from 1 species